GAGGAGUGAUGAUGCUAAGGUUCCUCAACAAGCUGAAGUCCUGUGAUGUCACAACGUCUCUUGGCUGUCUGACCAA